rnacentral:rRNA from 1 species
UUGGAGGGCAAGUCUGGUGCCAGCAGCCGCGGUAAUUCCAGCUCCAAUAGCGUAUAUUAAAGUUGUUGCAGUUAAAAAGCUCGUAGUUGAAUUUCGGGAUCAAUUUGCUGGUCGUGCCUUUGGUACGCACUGGUAUUAUUGGUUUCUCCUUUCUGAAGAAUCGCGAUGUCAUUAAUUUGGUGUCGCGAGGAAUCAGGACUGUUACUUUGAAAAAAUUAGAGUGUUUAAAGCAGGCUCACGCUUGAAUACAUUAGCAUGGAAUAAUGAAAUAGGACGUUUGAUUCUAUUUUGUUGGUUUCUAGGAUCGACGUAAUGAUUAAUAGGGAUAGUUGGGGGCAUUAGUAUUCAAUUGUCAGAGGUGAAAUUCUUGGAUUUAUUGAAGACUAACUACUGCGAAAGCAUUUGCCAAGGAUGUUUUCAUUAAUCAAGAGCGAAAGUUAGGGGAUCGAAGACGAUCAGAUACCGUCGUAGUCUUAACCAUAAACUAUGCCGACUAGGGAUCGGAUGAUGUUGAUUUUUUAAUGACUCAUUCGGCGCCUUACGGGAAACCAAAGUGUUUGGGUUC